rnacentral:rRNA from 1 species
AUUGAACGCUGGCGGCAGGCCUAACACAUGCAAGUCGAACGAGUGGCGGACGGGUGAGUAAUGGCUGGGAAACUGCCUGAUGGAGGGGGAUAACUACUGGAAACGGUAGCUAAUACCGCAUACCAUCAGAUGUGCCCAGAUGGGAUUAGCUUGUUGGUGGGGUAACGGCUCACAAAGGCGACGAUCCCUAGCUGGUCUGAGAGGAUGACCAGCCACACGGGGACUGAGACACGGUCCAGACUCCUACGGGAGGCAGCAGUGGGGAAUAUUGGAAAAUGGGCGCAAGCCUGAGGCAGCCAUGCCGCGGGUAUGAAGAAGGCCUUCGGGUUGUAAAGUACUUUCAGCGGGGAGGCGUUACCCGCCGAAAAAGCACCGGCUAACUACGUGCCAGCAGCCGCGGUAAUUC